GAUGAACGCUGGCGGCGUGCCUAAUACAUGCAAGUCGAGCGAACAGACGAGGAGCUUGCUCCUCUGACGUUAGCGGCGGACGGGUGAGUAACACGUGGAUAACCUACCUAUAAGACUGGGAUAACUUCGGGAAACCGGAGCUAAUACCGGAUAAUAUAUUGAACCGCAUGGUUCAAUAGUGAAAGACGGUUUUGCUGACACUUAUAGAUGGAUCCGCGCCGAAUUAGCUAGUUGGUAAGGUAACGGCUUACCAAGGCAACGAUGCGUAGCCGACCUGAGAGGUGGAUCGCCCACACUGGAACUGAGCCACGGUCCAGACUCCUACGGGAGGCAGCAGUAGGGAAUCUUCCGCAAUGGGCGAAAGCCUGACGGAGCAACGCCGCGUGAGUGAUGAAGGUCUUCGGAUCGUAAAACUCUGUUAUCAGGGAAGAACAAAUGUUUAAGUAACUAUGCACGUCUUGACGGUACCUAAUCAGAAAGCCACGGCUAACUACGUG
rnacentral:rRNA from 1 species